GACGAACGCUGGCGGCGUGCUUAACACAUGCAAGUCGAACGGAAAGGCCUGCUUUCCCUUGUGGAUUGCGGGUACUCGAGUGGCGAACGGGUGAGUAACACGUGAGUGAUCUGCCCCCAACUUGGGUAUAAGCCUGGGAAACUGGGUCUAAUUCCCGAUAGGACUGCAGGGUGGUGCCUGUGGUGGAAAACGAUUUUCUAGUGGUUGGGGAUGAGCUCGCGGCCUAUCAGCUUGUUGGUGGGGUAAUGGCCUACCAAGGCGGCGACGGGUAGCCGGCCUGGGAGGGUGGACGGCCACAUUGGGACUGAGAUACGGCCCGGACUCCUACGGGAGGCAGCAGUGGGGAAUAUUGCACAAGGGGCGGAAGCCUGAUGCAGCGACGCCGCGUGGGGGAUGACGGCCUUCGGGUUGUAAACUCCUUUCGACCGCGAGGAAGCCACCUGGUUGGAAGGGUGGUGACGGUAGUGGUAGAAGAAGCACCGGCUAACUACGUG
rnacentral:rRNA from 1 species